UACGGAGGGGGCGAGCGUUAUCCGGAAUCAUUGGGCGUAAAGAGUGCGUAGGCGGUCUUUUAAGCGCAGGGUCUAAGGCUACGGCUUAACCGUAGUUCGCCCUGCGAACUGGAGGACUUGAGUGCUGGAGAGGAAAGCGGAAUUCCUAGUGUAGCGGUGAAAUGCGUAGAUAUUAGGAGGAACACCAGUGGCGAAGGCGGCUUUCUGGACAGUAACUGACGCUGAGGCACGAAAGCGUGGGGAGCAAACA
rnacentral:rRNA from 1 species